GCGAUUGUAGUCCAGUGGUUAGGACGGUGGCUUCCCAAGCCAUUGACUCGGGUUCGAAUCCCGGCAGUCGCACCA
rnacentral:tRNA from 1 species